rnacentral:rRNA from 1 species
AUUGAACGCUGGCGGCAUGCCUUACACAUGCAAGUCGAACGGCAGCACGGGAGCAAUCCUGGUGGCGAGUGGCGAACGGGUGAGUAAUAUAUCGGAACGUGCCCGGUCGUGGGGAUAACGUAGCGAAAGCUACGCUAAUACCGCAUACGAUCUACGGAUGAAAGCGGGGGAUCGCAAGACCUCGCGCGAUUGGAGCGGCCGAUAUCAGAUUAGGUAGUUGGUGAGGUAAAGGCUCACCAAGCCGACGAUCUGUAGCUGGUCUGAGAGGACGACCAGCCACACUGGGACUGAGACACGGCCCAGACUCCUACGGGAGGCAGCAGU